GUUAGCUCAGUCGGCAGAGCGUGGUGCUGAUAACGCCAAGGUCGUGACUCACACGGACCAUCACAAUAUCU